rnacentral:rRNA from 1 species
UUUUCCAAAACAUGUCCUUUUGAUUAAUUAAUAUAAGGUCGGGCCUGCCCAAUGAUUUAAUUUAAUGGCCGCAGUAUUCUAACUGUGCAAAGGUAGCAUAAUCAAUUGUCUCUUAAUUAGAGACUAGAAUGAAAGGUUUGACGAGGGGUGRGCUUUCUUUAUUAUAAAAAAUGAAUUUUACAUUUAGGUUAAAAGGCUUAAAUAUUACUAGGGGACGAGAAGACCCUAUAGAGCUUUAUAUUUAUUAAAUAUAAAUUAAUUAUAAUAUGAUAAGAUAUAUUUAAUAUAUUAUUUUGUUGGGGUGACAUAUAAAUUUAYUUAACUUUAUAUAAUAGAUAUCACUAAUUAGUGUAACAUUGAUCCAUUUAUAGUGAUUAAAAGAUUAAGCUACCUUAGGGAUAACAGCGUAAUUUCUUUGGAGAGUUCAAAUCGAUAAAGGAGUUUGCGACCUCGAUGUUGGAUUAAAAUAAGUUACAGGUGUAGCAGCUUGAUAACUAAGUCUGUUCGACUUUUAAAUUUUUACAUGAUUAAUUUUCA